ACAUCUUAAUGAGAUGUACAUAAACCAAUUUAAUCCUUUGCUUAAAUCAGUUUACAGUGAUUUAUCAAUGCAAGCUGAAAACAGUGCAUGUAAGGAUUACACUGGUUUAAAUGUCUACAUUAGAGCAAAGCAUUUGGGAUGGGGUUUGAGCACGUGCUGAAUUUCCUGGGCCAAGGCUUCCAUUGAGAACACACAGGGAUGAAGCCAGAGCUGACAUGCACAGUUUGCCGUGGCUUCCCGGGUAUGAGAAUUUGUUUUCAUUUUACAUUUGAAUGAAAUACAAGAAAAGCAAUGUGACUGUUCAGAAAGGUUUGCCUUUCGUCAUGGUGCUUCUGUGAAACUUUUCUGUGCUUUCCACAGAAAAUGAACACUUUUUUUUGCUGAUGGUGUCCACUAUCAGACAAAGUAUAAAAAAACUCUGUGCAUUUAAUAGUUAUCGCAUUCCCA
rnacentral:lncRNA from 1 species